rnacentral:rRNA from 1 species
AGAGUUUGAUCAUGGCUCAGAACGAACGCUGGCGGCAGGCUUAACACAUGCAAGUCGAACGGACCCUUCGGGGUUAGUGGCUGACGGGUGAGUAACGCGUGGGAACCUACCUAUAAGUACGGAACAACACAGAGAAAUUUGUGCUAAUACCGUAUGUGGUCUUCGGAUUAAAGAUUUAUCGCUUAUAGAUGGGCCCGCGUUAGAUUAGCUAGUUGGUGAGGUAACGGCUCACCAAGGCGACGAUCUAUAGCUGGUCUGAGAGGAUGAUCAGCCACACUGGGACUGAGACACGGCCCAGACUCCUACGGGAGGCAGCAGUGAGGAAUAUUGGACAAUGGGGGCAACCCUGAUCCAGCCAUGCCGCGUGAGUGAUGACGGCCUUAGGGUUGUAAAGCUCUUUCAGUAGUGAAGAUAAUGACGGUAACUACAGAAGAAGCCCCGGCUAACUUCGUGCCAGCAGCCGCGGUAAUACGAAGGGGGCUAGCGUUGUUCGGAAUCACUGGGCGUAAAGCGCGCGUAGGCGGACUUUUAAGUCAGGGGUGAAAUCCCGAGGCUCAACCUCGGAACUGCCUUUGAUACUGGAAGUCUUGAGUUCGAGAGAGGUGAGUGGAAUACCGAGUGUAGAGGUGAAAUUCGUAGAUAUUCGGUGGA